ACCUGGAGUAGCUCAGUUGGUAGAACACGAGGCCCUUAAUUUCAAGGUCACAGGUUUGAACCCCACGUCAGGUG